UACGUAGGUGGCGAGCGUUAUCCGGAAUUAUUGGGCGUAAAGAGCGCGCAGGUGGUUGAUUAAGUCUGAUGUGAAAGCCCACGGCUUAACCGUGGAGGGUCAUUGGAAACUGGUCGACUUGAGUGCAGAAGAGGGAAGUGGAAUUCCAUGUGUAGCGGUGAAAUGCGUAGAGAUAUGGAGGAACACCAGUGGCGAAGGCGGCUUCCUGGUCUGUAACUGACACUGAGGCGCGAAAGCGUGGGGAGCAAACAGGAUUAGAUACCCGGGUA
rnacentral:rRNA from 1 species